GUCCAGCAUAGAAGCACACAAUAGACCAAAGUCUGGUGGUCUCAGAACAGUGAAUCCAGCCCAGACUUUAGUCCAAGCAACUGUGACCAAGGGCAUCAGAUGAUCUGCCUAUCCAGAAGAAGGAAAGAAGGGACAAAAUCAUCUACAGCUUUUAGCUUCUACCUCACACUCUGAAACACUGCUUCAACUCUAAUGAAGGCAAGUGCAUUUCUGCCAUCAGAAGGGAAAACAGCAAAGGGCGAGGAGGGAGUGAUGGAAGAAGUGGUGUAUUAACAAGAUUUGAUGAUGCCCAGGAAUGAACAACAGGAAGACUGGUGAGGCAGAGCUUUCCAGAGGAUUCACAUUCAGAGGCACAGAUUCCAGGCUGCUGCCUAGGAUCCCAUGAUUCCAGGCCCCCUCCAACCUCUGGGGUGGAUGUUUUAUUGCUGCCUGUCCAGGGGUCCUCUUCAUUUUCUCCUCUUCCAGUGACUUCAUUCUCUGUGCCAGUGAAAGCC
ensembl:processed_transcript Gm12707 predicted gene 12707